UGAUGUUUUGGUAAGUCUGCAAUUAGAAUUCAUGAUAUGUUAUGGAAGAUUGGCUGAUUUGAAGAUGGACAGACACACUGACCUACAUAUUUUACACAAUAAUAUUAUGCAGUUGUUACAAUUAAGUUAAUUAGAAGGUAACAGGGUUGUAAUAACAUUUUAUCAGCAAUACAGUGUCAGAAAAGUUGUUUGUAAUGUGAUAUGAACUAAAGAUAGCAUCUCUGAAUAUGAGUAUUGAUCAUACUUUGACAAAAUAUUAAGAGAAAUCAGAUACAAAAAAAAAUCCAGUUACAGGGCUCUUAAAAGAGCAAAACUGUUUCCUUCUGUACUCAACAGAGGGAAACUUCUUGCAUAACUUUUGAUGUGCAAAGGUGCUAAAAUUUAAUUAUUAGUGAAGACUGAAGUAACCUGAGACCCUCAAGGAAUAGAUAACUGCAAAAUAUUAUUUCACUUAGAAUUACUUGCUUUACUUUAUUUACAGCUAUUUUCUCCAAUUUUCAGAAGAUUGCCAAGUCAUAUUAGUGUUAAAAAAUAAGACAUCUACAUUGAUCUGGACAGAGGUUCAGUAUGUUCCUCUAUAAUCAGUGUGUUAUGUUUCUUACGAUAUGUCAUAUCAAUACCUUCAACCUUCGUGAUAUGAAAAAUGAUAGCACUACUCAAAAAAUUUUCCACUUACAUAUGAGUCUUAACAGCCAAAACUGACUUUUUUCCUCACACUCUUUUAGAGCCCUGCAGGUAGUAAUGUUACUAACUCAUACACUCUCCUUCAGUUUAGAUAUGGAAGUGUCACACACAAAAUGUUCAAUUUUUAUGAAAAUGUAUUUCUAAAAGGUUUAUUAUUUUUAUUUUUAAAGUAACAGUAUUUUUCUUUGAAGGAUUCUUAGAGAAAAUGAAAAUAGAGUUCUGCUAAAUAACUUUCAGAUAAAAAGCUGCAUUUCCUGACAAGGUUAUCUUUUCCAGUCUACUCUUUCCUGUCCCCAGACAUCCCCCCAUGCAGAACCCAACCUUACAGAAGCUGGACAUGCAUAACUCCUAUCAUAUUUAUCCUUCUCUUUCGACAGCUUUGGCAGAGACUGCAAUGGAAAUCUACCUUCCCUCUGAUCCCUGAUCUUCCCCAGGACUGCAUAUACUCCUUUGCACUCCCUCCUGCGUGAGGAACCUGUGUUUGCAGCAUGCCUGUGUAAAGUGCACGAUACAGGUGCAUGGUGUUGGAAGACAAGAAAAGGCUGUACUUCCAGGUUACUCCAUUUUCAUGAUGUUUGACAGAUUUUAAUGAGGCAGUACUAAGAGCAGUCUGAGACUUGAUUCCAACUGGCCAUAUUAUGCUCUAAAAGACCUAGGAUUUCAGCACGUGUAGUAAGCCAGCAUGCUUCCACUGAGGUUAAUGGAAUCAGCAUUUUUGAAUCAUCUGAGAAUCAGGUGAGAAAACCAUUGGAGGUAUGUGGAAGAGUGGUGGAGGGCUGAGCCCUGGCUGCUUCCCCUACACUUUGCCUGCAGCGUGGAUGUGUCCAGAGGUAGACACGGAGGCACAGCUGCACCUCUGCCUUUUUUUUUUACUGGGGGCACAAACCAUCCUGUUCUAACCAGAUCCUGGCUGACUGCUGUGUCUGUGCAGCAUAAACCCUGAACUCAGUAAGAUAACAGUUGUUAUCACGGUGCUUUUUAUCUGGGAGGCAAUGUCUUAAAUUGCAUCUGACCUCUGUAUGCACAGAGAAGCAAGUGAUGAGAGCUCUACCUAGAUCCUCAAAGGUUUUAGAUGAAAUCAGUAAGAGUGCAGUACCUAAACGAAUACUUCUGAGGAUAAUAGCUUCUGUGUCUUUCAUCCAUGUGUUGUACAAGCGAGACUCUGAACAGUAAUUUAUCAAAUGAUGUAUUGUGAGCCUUAGAACACAACAGGAUUUUCAGCACUCUUUUUCCCAAAUAGGUUCACUAAUGCUUGAUACUAAGCCAUUUCAUUUACUACCACUAUCAUUAGAAUAAUUAAACUAGCUGCAAUAUAGAUUUGACUUUAUUUUUGGGUAAAGCUUCUGACUGUCCUAGGUCAUUGAAGUUUAGCAACAAAGCUCCAUACAAAUAGAUUUUUGUAAUAGUACCAAUAGGCUACAUAUGACAAAAAGUAAACAAAGUCAUAUUGGUGCGCUGCGUGUGUAUCCAUCUUAGCAUAUUUAUAUUUCUGUGCAGUGCAAGCUCAAGGUAAACCUGUAUGACCAUGUGCUACAAGUCCAGACAAAUAGUUCUUUUGUGCUCUGUUAAGGCAGAAGAAUGAGCUAUUAUUUUUUCUGUAUAUUGGGACCCACUUGUUUGCCAGCAAGUUGUUCAGAUUUCAAUGGGAAGAAAACCAAGCUAAAAUUGCCACACUGCAAUAUUAAAUGAAUUGGAAUUCUGUUCCUCCAUGAAAAGACUUUAAAUUUUGUGUCUGUUCCAUAAAAUUAACCACUGCAUCUGGUUUUUCUUCUGAACUUGUUCAGAUAAGUUGAUGAAACUUGGGGGUUAUCUGACAGUAACACAAUCAGAUGGAGAUUUGUUCAGAAAAUUACAAUGCAGAGAGGGACACUUAAUUGGUUCUGUCAGCAAACAGAAAAGCACUAGCUUGCAUUUCCAGAAACUGUCUAAAACUUUUACAAAUAGUCUGACUCAGGUAAAAUCAGGCUAAUUAUAUGUUGGGCUCAAAAAAUACUCAUUAGAAGAACAUUAUUGGGGUUAUAAUGUCCAAAACAUAACGACAGGAAACAGUGUGAUUAAUAAGCAAUUGACAGCCUAUUUUAUCUAUUGCCAUAUUAAUUAUGUGACUGUACAACACAGUACACAGACCUUCAGCUCUAUUCAUUAUCUUAGCUACUUAAUAUCUUAUUUAAACCCACAGAGUGAACAUAAGUGUUUGCUAUGCUUUAUUCAAAUUAUACUGCAAAGAAUCAUAUUGAUUUUCUUGUGAAAAGGUGAAAAAAAAAAAUCAUGAGAGGUCUCUAGAGUUUCUGGAAGUGAGAAUUCAAAACAGUUAUAACAAAAG